rnacentral:rRNA from 1 species
AUUGAACGCUAGCGGCAGGCUUAACACAUGUAAGUCGAGCGGAGUGAUGGUGCUUGCACUAUCACUUAGCGGCGGACGGGUGAGUAAUGCUUAGGAAUCUGCCUAUUAGUGGGGGACAACAUCUCGAAAGGGAUGCUAAUACCGCAUACGUCCUACGGGAGAAAGCAGGGGAUCACUUGUGACCUUGCGCUAAUAGAUGAGCCUAAGUCGGAUUAGCUAGUUGGUGGGGUAAAGGCCUACCAAGGCGACGAUCUGUAGCGGGUCUGAGAGGAUGAGCCGGCACACUGGGACUGAGACACGGCCCAGACUCCUACGGGAGGCAGCAGUGGGGAAUAUUGGACAAUGGGGGGAACCCUGAUCCAGCCAUGCCGCGUGUGUGAAGAAGGCCUUAUGGUUGUAAAGCACUUUAAGCGAGGAGGAGGCUCUUUUGGUUAAUACCCAAGAUGAGUGGACGUUACUCGCAGAAUAAGCACCGGCUAACUCUGUGCCAGCCGCCGCGGUAA